GAUGAAGGAACGUAGUGAAAUGCGAUAAGUAAUGUGAAUUGCAGAAUUCAGUGAAUCAUCGAAUCUUUGAACGCACAUUGCGCCCGCCAGUAUUCUGGCGGGCAUGCCUGUUCGAGCGUCAUUACAACCCUCAGGCCCCCGGGCCUGGCGUUGGGGAUCGGCGGAGCCCCCCGUGGGCACACGCCGUCCCCCAAAUGCAGUGGCGGUCCCGCCGCAGCUUCCAUCGCGUAGUAGCUAACACCUCGCGACUGGAGAGCGGCGCGGCCACGCCGUAAAACACCCAACUCUUCUGAAGUUGACCUCGAAUCAGGUAGGAAUACCCGCUGAACUUAAGCAUAUCAAUAAGCGGAGGA
rnacentral:misc_RNA from 1 species